GGUUGUGACUCAGUGGAACAGCACUUGCCUAGCACAUGCAAGGCCCUGGGUUCGAUUCUCAGCACCA
rnacentral:tRNA from 1 species